rnacentral:rRNA from 1 species
UACAGAGGUCCCAAGCGUUGUUCGGAUUUACUGGGCGUAAAGGGAGCGUAGGUGGCAUUCUAAGUCUGAUGUGAAAGCUCUGAGCUUAACUCAGAAAUGGCAUUAGAAACUAGUUUGCUAGAGGAUUGGAGGGGAGAUUGGAAUACUUGGUGUAGCAGUGAAAUGCGUAGAUAUCAAGAGGAACACCAGUGGCGAAGGCGAGUCCCUGGACAACUUCUGACGCUGAGGCACGAAAGCUAGGGGAGCAAACAGG